rnacentral:rRNA from 1 species
AGUGGCAGACGGGUGAGUAACGCGUGGAAACGUGCCUUUCACUACGGAAUAGCUUUUGGAAACGAAAGGUAAUACCGUAUACGCCCUCCGGGGGAAAGAUUUAUCGGUGAAAGAUCGGUCCGCGUUAGAUUAGCUAGUUGGUGAGGUAAUGGCUCACCAAGGCUACGAUCUAUAGCUGGUCUGAGAGGAUGAUCAGCCACACUGGGACUGAGACACGGCCCAGACUCCUACGGGAGGCAGCAGUGGGGAAUAUUGCACAAUGGGCGCAAGCCUGAUGCAGCCGUGCCGCGUGAAUGAUGAAGGCCUUAGGGUUGUAAAAUUCUUUCGCCAGGGAUGAUAAUGACAGUACCUGGUAAAGAAGCCCCGGCUAACUUCGUGCCAGCAGCCGCGGUAAUACGAAGGGGGCUAGCGUUGUUCGGAAUUACUGGGCGUAAAGCGCACGUAGGCGGACUUUUAAGUCAGGUGUGAAAUCCCGGGGCUCAACCUCGGAACUGCAUUUGAAACUGGGAGUCUAGAGAUCAGGAGAGGUUAGUGGAAUACCGAGUGUAGAGGUGAAAUUCGUAGAUAUUCGGUGGAACACCAGUGGCGAAGGCGACUAACUGGACUGAUACUGACGCUNAGGUGCGAAAGUGUGGGGAGCAAACAGGAUUAGAUACCCUGGUAGUCCACACCGUAAACGAUGANUGCUAGUUGUCUGCAGGCAUGCCUGUANNUGACGCANCUNACGCAUUAAGCACUCCGCCNGGGGGAGUACGGCCGCANGGUUNAAACUCAAAU